GCCCUCUUCGUCUAUCGGUUAGGACGUCGGAUUUUCAAUCCGAAAAGAGGAGUUCGAUUCUCCUAGAGGGCGCCA
rnacentral:tRNA from 1 species